rnacentral:rRNA from 1 species
AUUUUGGACAAUGGGGGAAACCCUGAUCCAGCCAUCCCGCGUGUGCGAUGAAGGCCUUCGGGUUGUAAAGCACUUUUGGCAGGGAAGAAACGGCGCUGAAUAAUACUUGGCGUCACUGACGGUACCUGCAGAAUAAGCACCGGCUAACUACGUGCCAGCAGCCGCGGUAAUACGUAGGGUGCAAGCGUUAAUCGGAAUUACUGGGCGUAAAGCGUGCGUAGGCGGUUCGGAAAGAAAGGUGUGAAAUCCCAGAGCUUAACUUUGGAACUGCACUUUUAACUACCGGGCUAGAGUAUGUCAGAGGGGGGUAGAAUUCCACGUGUAGCAGUGAAAUGCGUAGAGAUGUGGAGGAAUACCGAUGGCGAAGGCAGCCCCCUGGGAUAAUACUGACGCUCAGGCACGAAAGCGUGGGGAGCAAACAGG